UCUUAGAUGACUGAGGAUAAAGUGUUAGAUUUUUAAUCUAAAAACAGCAUGAAUGAAUUGCUUCUAGGAA
rnacentral:tRNA from 1 species